rnacentral:rRNA from 1 species
GAUGAACGCUGGCGGCGUGCCUAAUACAUGCAAGUCGAGCGAACAGACAAGGAGCUUGCUCCUUUGACGUUAGCGGCGGACGGGUGAGUAACACGUGGGUAACCUACCUAUAAGACUGGGAUAACUUCGGGAAACCGGAGCUAAUACCGGAUAAUAUUUCGAACCGCAUGGUUCGAUAGUGAAAGAUGGUUUUGCUAUCACUUAUAGACGGACCCGCGCCGUAUUAGCUAGUUGGUAAGGUAACGGCUUACCAAGGCGACGAUACGUAGCCGACCUGAGAGGGUGAUCGGCCACACUGGAACUGAGACACGGUCCAGACUCCUACGGGAGGCAGCAGUAGGGAAUCUUCCGCAAUGGGCGAAAGCCUGACGGAGCAACGCCGCGUGAGUGAUGAAGGUCUUCGGAUCGUAAAACUCUGUUAUUAGGGAGGAACAUACGUGUAAGUAACUAUGCACGUCUUGACGGUACCUAAUCAGAAAGCCACGGCUAACUACGUGCCAGCAGCCGCGGUAAUACGUAGGUGGCAAGCGUUAUCCGGAAUUAUUGGGCGUAAAGCGCGCGUAGGCGGUUUUUUAAGUCUGAUGUGAAAGCCCACGGCUCAACCGUGGAGGGUCAUUGGAAACUGUAAAACUUGAGUGCAGAAGAGGAAAGUGGAAUUCCAUGUGUAGCGGUGAAAUGCGCAGAGAUAUGGAGGAACACCAGUGGCGAAGGCGACUUUCUGGUCUGUAACUGACGCUGAUGUGCGAAAGCGUGGGGAUCAAACAGGAUUAGAUACCCUGGUAGUCCACGCCGUAAACGAUGAGUGCUAAGUGUUAGGGGGUUUCCGCCCCUUAGUGCUGCAGCUAACGCAUUAAGCACUCCGCCUGGGGAGUACGACCGCAAGGUUGAAACUCAAAGGAAUUGACGGGGACCCGCACAAGCGGUGGAGCAUGUGGUUUAAUUCGAAGCAACGCGAAGAACCUUACCAAAUCUUGACAUCCUUUGACAACUCUAGAGAUAGAGCCUUCCCCUUCGGGGGACAAAGUGACAGGUGGUGCAUGGUUGUCGUCAGCUCGUGUCGUGAGAUGUUGGGUUAGGUCCCGCAACGAGCGCAACCCUUAAGCUUAGUUGCCAUCAUUAAGUUGGGCACUCUAAGUUGACUGCCGGUGACAAACCGGAGGAAGGUGGGGAUGACGUCAAAUCAUCAUGCCCCUUAUGAUUUGGGCUACACACGUGCUACAAUGGACAAUACAAAGGGCAGCGAAACCGCGAGGUCAAGCAAAUCCCAUAAAGUUGUUCUCAGUUCGGAUUGUAGUCUGCAACUCGACUACAUGAAGCUGGAAUCGCUAGUAAUCGUAGAUCAGCAUGCUACGGUGAAUACGUUCCCGGGUCU